AAUUGUAUUUUGUGUCUGUUAAUGAGUGACUGUCUUCAGGUAAAUGAUCUGGAGUGUGUUUGCAUAUUGAUCAGAUGCUUCAGUGCUCUGAGAGUGUUUAUAGUGCUGUGAGUUUAACACUUCAUCACUGACACACACAACAAUCUUCAUCAACAUGACCUUCAUCAUCAUCUUCAUCUGGACUCUCACAGCGUUUGCUCAAGAGUGUAGAGGACAGAUCACCGUCACUCAGAGUCCCUCAAUGACAGCAGCUCAACCAGGAGAAACAGUCACAAUCAACUGUAAAACCAGCAGUGAUGUUCACUAUGAUGCAGGAGGGUUUUUAUUUAUAACUACUUCAUAUACUUACUAUUUAAGCUGGUACUUACAAAAACCUGGAGAAGCUCCUAAACUCCUCAUUUACAAAGUAACGGAGCGUUACAGUGGAGCUCCAUCUAGAUUCAGUGGCACAAGUUCAUCUGCAAGAGAUUUCACUCUGACCAUCAGUGGAGUCCAGACUGAAGAUGCUGGACAUUAUUACUGUCAGAGUGUACAUGAAAUCAACAGUAACUGGGUGUUCACACAGUGAUAAAGAGUCGUACAA